UACGGAGGGUGCAAGCGUUAAUCGGAAUUACUGGGCGUAAAGCGCGCGUAGGCGGCUGGGUAAGUCGAUUGUGAAAGCCCCGGGCUCAACCUGGGAAUUGCAGUCGAGACUGCUCGGCUAGAGUGUGGGAGAGGGUGGUGGAAUUCCCGGUGUAGCGGUGAAAUGCGUAGAUAUCGGGAGGAACAUCAGAGGAGAAGGCGACCACCGGGACCAACACUGACGCUGAGGUGCGAAAGCGUGGGUAGCAAACAGG
rnacentral:rRNA from 1 species